rnacentral:rRNA from 1 species
UACGAAGGGGGCUAGCGUUGUUCGGAAUUACUGGGCGUAAAGCGCACGUAGGACGGAUAUUUAAGUCAGGGGUGAAAUCCCAGAGCUCAACUCUGGAACUGCCUUUGAUACUGGGUAUCUUGAGUAUGGAAGAGGUGAGUGGAAUUCCGAGUGAUAGAGGUGAAAUUCGUAGAUAUUCGGAGGAACACCAGUGGCGAAAGGCGGCUCACUGGUCCAUUACUGACGCUGAGGUGCGAAAGCGUGGGGAGCAAACAGG